AUCUUUGUAGAGCUUAAAGUGUAUUUUUCCUACAAUUUAAUGACAACUGGACUAUAUUGUUCGGUUUUUCUCAAGGAAACCGUUUAAUCAUCCAACCUGUUUAUUCAGCGUGUGCUUGUACACAACGCCCCCUGGUGGAGGAACAUGAUGUCAUGGUUUAGUUUAUUUCCUUCAUUGUUUCCUUAAAACAUAAUUUCAACUUUUUCUUUUUCUUUUAAAUGUUCUCUGUGCUAUGAAUUCUUGGUAGGCUACAUGCGAUGAGGCCUUAAUCACUGAAAUAAAUGAAUAAAGUCAAGUCACGUUGCACAUGUUGAAGUGCUGUCUGGGCUCCUGUGGCCCCUGGGGUUCGAUUAAGGAGCCAUCUGUCAUUAUUGGGUGUAAGAUUAAGAACUCCUGCGUCUGACGUCUCUGAUCUUGAUUAGAAUGUGGAUUAUAUAUGAAGAAGAACAUAAAGUUCAGAGCACAGAUUAUGUUUUUUUUUUUUCCUCUUAGCCAGGAUGCGUGUUAAAUAAAAUAUCACUGUGAUACAGUUUCUUACAGCUUAUACCAUCCAUACAAAGUCCAUGUUGUAAAGAAUGAAGAUGUGCAUUAUGCAACAACACAGAUGAACAUUUGUAAAGCAGGCCUCUAAUGCAACUUUAUCUUCUGCAACAAAGCGGCUGAAGAGGAUUAUGCUGCUGUUGCCACAGAAACUUGUUGAUCAGUGAGAGUAGAGAGGGGAGGGGGGGGUCCACACAUAUGGAACAGAGGGGACAGAGAGGUGAUCCAAACAGAUUUACAGCACAGACCACCCUGCACCUACAGCAGGGAAACACACUUUUUUUUUUAAGGUGACACAGAUUCCUUCCAGUUUGCCACCAUGCUGCACCCUUUAGUCAUCGGCAUUAUCACCGUCAACACCACCAUGACCGUCGUCUAUUGGAGCCUGCUGCUGAGCGAUGCCUACUUCAGGUUGCUGAUGGAGCCAGAGGACAAACCCAAGAAAGAGGUGACCCCUGUCUGAGGGAGGCAACAUGGAAUGACUGAAUUGAUACACUUUAUUAAUGCUUAGAACUAGUGUGCAAGAGCCGCUCAGCUUGUAGUGCUUUCUGUGGAGUCCUGUUCUGCUGUUGAUCUGCUUUCUGUUCCACCUGGAGAAGACUUUGAAACCUUAUAAAGACAAAUCUGAACUGAAAGGAUCCUGCUUGUGGAAGACAAAAGAGUCAUUCUUAAAGAGCCGUCUGUAUGCAACACGAGCCACUUUAGAAGACAUUUUAUUGACAAAUAUAAAGAAGAAAACUGAAGAUCCGUUUCAAGCUUUGAUUGCAGGACUGGAUCCUUGGCCCCAAACCAGUGGAGGAUGAGUCAGAAGAAGGCAGAGCAGAAAUAGAAGAAGAGCAGAGACUGAGUGUUUCCAGUAAGCUGAUGCAGAAAGACAGGCUAGAGAUGGAGAUCGAGAAGGAUGGCCAGCUCCCUGGGAUACAUUUUGGAGACUCCUUCCACUGUCUACCCAUCCCUCCUCCGCUGAGUAACGCCAUCUCUCCAUCCUACCCUGAAGAAAAAAAUGUAACUGCUCAUAGGAUGUCUUUCUCCAGCCCUUUGACCCCUUAUGUCAUGUCCCUCUGAGUUAGAGCAACAAUACCUUACAGCUCAAAUAAGUUGUUGGCACAAAUCUCAGUGAUCAUUGUUGUCUUUUUGCUAUAGAGAUGCAUAAGCUUAGGCAUUUUGGAUUUAUAUAGAACACAAGUUGUUCUGUACUGUAGCGUGUCACAUUGUAGUUUGUACUAAAACAAAUGCUUACUCUGAUUGUUUAUUAAAAAUGUAAUCAAGCAUGGUCUUUAGAGUCAAUUAUUCAAAUAACAUUGCAAUCUGCAAAGUGUCAAAUGUAGCAAAAAAGACAUUGAUGUGAGAUACAAACAAGAAUAGUGUAUUUUAGUCACAGACUACAAAAUCAAAAUGUGUCAACCUUGACACUUUUUAAUGAAAGUGUGUUCAGUUCCUCCAUAAAAAGACAGAAAUGUAUUUUUAAGGAUAACACAUGAACUGCCAUUUUCAGUACAUUUUCCAGACCAGUCAAAGUCUCAUGGUGUUGUUUAUUGAAUCUGUAUUUCCCAUUAGUCUGUCACACAUGUUGUUAAUGUCUCACUCAUUGUCUCACUGAAGAAGAAUUAAAAAAAAUCAUGUCAUAUUCCCUGAUUUGAUGAUAGACUAAAAAUGAUUUCAAGUAAACAACGGACUGUUGUGUCUUGUCUGUGUUCAUUAAUCCCUCUUACCUUUCUCUAAUCGCUGGCUGUGUCAGGAGAGAGUGACCUUAUUUAUACUUGAGCCGUGUUAUUAAAUACGUGUGGCUCACAACAGAUAGAGAAACAGAAGCUGUACCACCUGUAGUGCAAAUAUAUCACAUCUAUAAUACAAUACACAAGAACUGCAAGUAUCUGUGUGAACUUUAUCAAAAACAUUCUUGAACACCAAGCUAGGAAACAUGAUAGCUAACAGGUAGCUACAGCUCGACGAAUACUGCCAAGGAAGACACUGAUUGCUAGCUUAUGAGCACACAGACAGACAGACAGACAGAUUCUCUCUCUCAUUAGGAAAUUGUGCUCACAGCAUCUUUGCUCUGACCUUGAGUACUUCAAGCUGCUGCAGCUAAUCUAGUUUCCAUCUGCGCAGGCAGUCUGGGAGUUAGUUCAGGGAGACAAAAUAGAAAAUGUGUCAUUAUGAGAGGUAGAGAUGUACUUUGUAUUGAAGUCUUCCUUACUUUGUGUGUAGAGUUUAACCCGGAGGGUAAAGACAACAGUGAAUUUGAGUAUGUAACCUGCUGCUUUGCUGUUUUGUAGAAAUGUUCACUCAAUUCUUGGUUGCUAAGCUUUAGUUGAACAUUGGUCCCUUGUGUUUUUUAAUCAAGUGCAUGAAAAGAAAGAUGGACCGUUAUGUGCUGCCCUCUAUGAAUACAGCAAUGACACUGAGGUAUUAAGUGGAUUCCCUGUAUGACAGCAGUUUCAGACUCUCAGUCAGUAAUGGAUGUACCAGUGGAUAGUUUGAACGUGCGUUACAGGGAAGAAGAUGGGACAGUGCUCUUUGAGAGCUACAUACCCCCCUCAAGGGAUGCUGUCCAUCUGCCUAAAUAUGUCCUCUAUCUGCUCAUGGCUGUCUUUAUUGUGCUGGGUGUCCUUUAUGCCAUCAUUGGCCACCUCAUCAAGGACCUCAUCCAUGACUUUUCAGACUGGCUGUUAGGGGAGCAGCCAGAGGAAGUGGUGGUGAACUACUGUGAGGCCAAAGAUAAGUUCAUAGCAGACUGGUGCCCAGAAACUUCACCUGAGCUAGAAGCGAUGGCCCGGGCUGAAGAGAACAAGAUCAUCAACAGGGACUUUACUAGAGCUCCUGCCAUCUGGGUAAUCUCUACAGAACCUCGAGGCAGCAAGUCUGGACCCCGAGUGGUCUUUGGGAUGAGGACUUAGAUGUGUGGACUGAAGAGGAAGACGUUUAGUUCAGAUAAAGACUUUUUUUCACAAAGAUUUUUAGAUUCUGUUAUAAUAGUAUGCGCAUGUAGAAAUGAAUUAAAUGGCUGUAUGCUACUAAGCAGGAGUAUUUCAUGUAGGCUUGUCCUAGCUCUUGCUGACAUUGCUGCACAGCGGUUUUACGAGGACAUCUAGCGUCCAUUGGGGAAAUUGCAGCUGAUUUUAAGCGAUAUCAUUUUUACGUGGACCACAUUACAAAAAGAAGUGUCAGCACAAGCUUGUAGGUGAGCGACUUCCAAACAAACAAAAUGUGGCAAAAAUAUGCCUGGUGUUGUAGCUU